rnacentral:rRNA from 1 species
UACGGGGGGGGCAAGCGUUGUUCGGAAUUACUGGGCGUAAAGGGCUCGUAGGCGGCCAACUAAGUCAGACGUGAAAUCCCUCGGCUUAACCGGGGAACUGCGUCUGAUACUGGAUGGCUUGAGUUUGGGAGAGGGAUGCGGAAUUCCAGGUGUAGCGGUGAAAUGCGCAGAUAUCUGAAGGAACAUCAGUGGCGAAAGCGACUUCCUGGACCAAUACUGACGCUCAUGUGCGAAAGCGUGGGGAGCAAACAGG